rnacentral:rRNA from 1 species
AGCAGUCGCCACGGUAAUACGAAGGGGGCUAGCGUUGCUCGGAAUUACUGGGCGUAAAGGGCGCGUAGGCGGACAGUUCAGUCGGGGGUGAAAGCCCGGGGCUCAACCUCGGAAUUGCCUUCGAUACUGGCUGUCUUGAGUAUGAGAGAGGUGUGUGGAACUCCGAGUGUAGAGGUGAAAUUCGUAGAUAUUCGGAAGAACACCAGUGGCGAAGGCGACACACUGGCUCAUUACUGACGCUGAGGCGCGAAAGCGUGGGGAGCAAACAGGAUUAGAUACCCGCGUAGUCCCUGUCUCUUAUAC